rnacentral:tRNA from 1 species
GGAAUAGCUCAGUGGUACAGCGCAUGCUUAGCAUGCAUGAGGUCCUGGGUUCAAUCCCCUGGACUGCCA